UGAGGAAUAUUGGUCAAUGGACGCAAGUCUGAACCAGCCAUGCCGCGUGAAGGAUGAAGGCGUUCUGCGUUGUAAACUUCUUUUAUCUGGGAAGAAACCACCUUUUUCUAAGGGUGUUGACGGUACCAGAGGAAUAAGCACCGGCUAACUCCGUGC
rnacentral:rRNA from 1 species